rnacentral:lncRNA from 1 species
UAGUUUAUGGCUGCAAUUAUAUUAAAAGUUGGACGAAAACAACUAUUUCUUUAGACUUACAAAAUUAUUUUUCUGGUUAAUGUUGCAGAUAACGAGAAGUUUGGAACUUGCAUGUCAAACUGCAGUGAGAACUAUUGCAUGGGCAACAAUGCUCUAGAGAAAGCUUAAGAAGCAAGCAUUUGCUCUAAGAAAUAAGUAAAACUUUGCCACAAUAUGUGUCUGUGGUAAUGACACCGAGUACGGAGAACUUGUGU